GAUGUCAAUGAAAUCCAAGUUGUUAAAUUGAUUAAGGGCAUAUUCAGCUAGGGUGUUUGGUGGUUGACCAUAGCCUUGGCAUUGGAGGACACCCCCACAAUCACCCGUUUGGCAUUUGCCACGUCCUGCUCCAUCGAAGUUGCAUCCCGUCCGGCCCCAAAUGCGAGCCCCUUUGGUACCAGCACUCACAUCUAAGGCCCAGGAUUGGCCUUUGCCGAGCUGGCGGCCACCGCCUGGCACAGCAGCUGCCCAUACAGUGUAGGCACAGUUGUUUUGGAUGUCAAAUCGAGCUGCAUUGGUUGAUGCAAAGAAGAGAAUGGCACAUAGGAUGGAGAAAACUAAGAGGCUUUUAAGGAGGCUCAUUGUGGGAGCUAAGCUUUACCAAAAUUUGUAGUUUUGUAUGGUUGUGUUUUGAAUUCUAAGGUGGCUCAUGAAGUUAUAUAGAGCAUUCGUAGUACUUAUGUUCGUCAUCAAAUGACGUUAGUUUAUUAGCUCAACAUUUCCGCCUAGGCCCACCGCGUCAAGUUUCCACAAGAAAAAAGUGAGAGACUUUUCCAAUAAAUGAUAAAUAUCUCCAAUUUUCUCUUUUUAUACUAUAUCUUUUUAGUAUUACUUUUUAUUGAAUAAAUCAAAGAAGAAGUUAUGUAUAAAAAUUUGUAAAAAAUGUGUACGAAAAAAAAAAGUGAAUUUUUUUCUCACCAUUGCACAAAUGGUGGUAAUCGUUUCUAUCAUACUUAUUAUUAUUAGAUGAAUUUUAAUAUUUAGAUUUAUAUUUAUCUAUUACAUAAAUUUCAAAAUUUAAAUUCAUAUAAUCGUAGAAUUGUGACUAUCAUCAUCACUUGAGGGCAGUGCAAAAAAUAUUUCUUUUGUUUUGGUAAACUAAAUCAGUGAAACACGAGAACUUAAUUGUGCAAUAGUUGCUUAGAUGAAAAUGCUACUACAGUAAUGAGGAAUCACUAGAAACAGAUUUUUCCAAAAUCAAAGCGUAAAAUGUAGCCAAACCUACCCAGUUUGUAAACAGUUGGAAUAUAUACGCCUAUUCUUUACAGAUUACAGAGAAUUAAAUUAAAUUAUUAUUUAUAGGGUUCUAAGUUCAAAUUAUUAGUUUGAAUUACAAUAUUUUUAUAUGAAGGUGAUUGGGAAUCAGCUUUUCCGAGUUGUUGAAGAUGGUACUGAUUAGAAUUGGUGGUUUCUUAACUUUCAGCCAUCGCUGAGAAUCCAAUCACCCUCUUCUUAAUUAGUUCUAGGCUUGGAGUAAUGGGGUUUAGUUAUAAAUUACUAGGCAUACAACAUUGAGUGGUACGGAUCUCUCAAUUGACGAGCUCCGGCCACAGAGGUCUCGAGUGGAUCUCCUUCCACCUAGGCAAACAACAUUGGUGACUACCACGUACCACGAUGGAUAGCCACAGAAAAGUCUCAACGAGCAGAAAUUAAAUCUAAGCAUCAGGCUAGCCACACAAUAUUAUUUCACUUCACGUGGAUACAGAUUUGAUCUACUCUACCAUUAUUGCCGGACCUUAUAAUACUACCAAGUCAAGCCUAAUUUGGUCCAAAGUGAUAUAUCAAUGCCAUAGGAAAAAGUUUGUCAACAGAAGUUUGGCAAAUAGCCUAAUCAAAUGGUAUAUUUCUAUGGUAGAUGCUUUGGCAUUAGCCUAAUCAAAUGGUAAAAUCUAUGGUAGAAGAAGAUGAUUGAUAGUUGUGGAGUCAAAAAUAAUUAAGAGGCGACACGUGGAUUUUUGGGUUAAAAUGACAAAAUUACCCUCGAGGCAUACCGGAAUCCUUACACGCGAGCAAUAGAUAAUCAUCCCUUGAUCAAGUCAAAAGUGCCCAAAUAGGUAUUUAUUUAUAACUUAUUUCAUCCAUCCCUCAUCCUAUCUUCUCCACAAGGUAACCCCUAAAUCAUUCAUUUUUUAUUAUAUUAAUUAGCUAAUUAAUUGAUUAAUUAUUCAAUUAAUUUGCUAAUUAAACACAAAUCAUAAACUUGACCCACAAAUCCAUCCAAGUGGCCGGUCCAUCUCCUCCCAAGGUGGCCAGCCACACCUGAUGCGAUGAAAGUUAAGGACUCAAAUUAAACCCUCUUUUGACAAUUUUAGUAUAUGUAUAAGUAGGGAUCAUUCUUAAACCGAGGAUUAGGAGAGCUUGCUAAAACCUCUAAACUUACUUAAAAACAUAAAAAUAAAUUAAAAACGUUUGAAUAGACUCAAGGGACUCAAAACAGAUUCUAAAGACUCAAAACUGCCUAAAAACAAAAACUAGGCAGUUUCUGACUCUAACACAACUUUGGACGAAAUUUGGUUUUUUUGACUUGACUCAAAACACUCUAAAACACAAACAAAACAGAUUUUAACACUUUGAAACAAGAAAGUAAAAGGGAGAUUUUAGUUUUGAUGAAUUUGAAACAAACAAACAACUUAUAAAAUUAGACAGAUUGUAAAACGAAUUUAAGAAAUGAGAUGAUGGAUGGAUUAGUUAGAGGUCCGUUCUUCACACAUGACACACUUGGAUAUGAAUCGAUUUCCAAUUGCUUUUCAAUUAACUAUGAUGCUCAAACCCCAAAUUAACCGUGAUGCACAAAUUAACCCUCAGAUUUUCCUUUACUCAUUGAGUUGGAUGAAUGCAUGCAACAACCCAAAUCAUUCUCUAAAAGUCCCCUAUAUGAAUGCAUAAUAGAGAUACAAUCAGAGAUCAUUACGGUCAAUGAAAAUCAUAAGUGUUGACGAGGCAAUUAUAACUAUGAAUGCAUGAUACAUUUGCCAAGAAUUCAAUUAACGCGAUUGUGAUAAACAACCUUCACUACUCAUGAAUAUAAACUUGUAAUGAUUAGGUGAAACUCAUUUAUAUUCUAGCAUCUAAUUCAUGCAUGAAAACUAAGUAUGCAUCCUUAAUAAACAUACAAGAAUUAGUUAUGAAUAAAAUAGAUAAUUGAAUUGCAAUCACAACUUAUCAAAUCACAAUUGGAGGAAAUCAAUUCAAAUCUCAAGCAUGUUCAUGGCUUCAAACUUCCCCCUAACUAAAUAGCGGUUUAGCCACUCAUAAUUGCAACAAAAUUAGAAAAUAAUAAAGUAGACAUUGAAAGCAAGAACGAAGUACACCUAAAAUGCUCCAAAGUUCCAAGCUUGAAACGCCAAGGACCUUUGUUUUCACCACCUUGUUGUAGCACAAGUGUCUAGGAUGUGUAUGGAUAUAUGGAUGGAAUGGAUUUGCACGGCUAAGAGAUGAAAGUGUAUGGAUUGGUGAGAUGUAGUAUUGCUAGAUGAAUGGAUGGAGGUCACUACAAGGAAAUUGUGUUUGUGAAUGAAAUGAAGCUCUUUUGAUGGAUCAAGAUUGUACCCCUUUGGAAGAGGGGUGGUGGAUGUAUUUAUAGGCUAGGGAGAGGACCACUCCAUUUCCUUUGCAUGUGCAGAUUGCAUGGGUGUGUGAUGUCCAUGUUUCUCCUUUCCUUUUGCACACACAUGCUUCAUCAUUUCAGCCACCAAUCCACCCAUUUUCUGCCCAUGUUUCUCCUUUCCUUUGCAUGUGGGUGUGUCUUCUCUUUCUAGCUGUGCAUUUCCACUUGCUCCAAAGCCAAAUGAGUGCAAUCAUAACCCCAUUUGCUGCUGAGUGUUGAUGACAAAGCAAAACACAAAACAAGUGCCUUUACUUUCUCAUUUUAUUAGCCAAAUCUGCUUAGCCCUUUUCUGAACCUUUCAGUGUUACAAUGCCCAUAACUUCUUCUAGAAAAAUGAUAUUACCAAUCCGUAAAUUUCUCAAGAAAAUAGACAUCUGUAGCUUUCCAAGCAUAUAAGGCUCAUUCUCUCAUUCAUUCGGAGCUGUUCGUAACAUGCUUCCAAAGUCAGCUAAUCUGCACAGGCAGUUUUGACGAAUUUGUUGGCUGUCCAUGUUUCUCUUUUGCAUAUGCCUUGUAUAAUGUUGUCUCCAUGUUCUUGUGGCAGAAAUGUUAAGUAAUGAUGAAGGGUUGCUACUGCACAAGUGUGAAAGAUGGUGCUCAAGGCCUCUUUGCAUGUGUGUGUAUGUCCAUGUAAUCAUCAUUUCCACAUCUUCAUUCUUCAUUUUCUGAUUUCCUGCUGCCCAUGCCGUGUGUUUCCUUGCAUUCCCAUGUGUGUGUGCUGCCAUCUAGUCAUCAUUUCCACAUGUACAAGCUGUCACACUUGCACACACACAUGCUCUUCAUUAUUUCAGCCACAAUUCAACUCACUUUCUCUCCAUGCCGUGUGUGUGUUGUCUUUGCAUGUGGGUGUCUUUGCAUGUACCUUGCAUGAUGUUGUCUCCAUCACAUGGCAGCUAUGAUGUUUGUUAGUUGUAGGUCACACACUUACACACAUAUGCUAAAUUCUAAUCUUCCCAAAACGUCCAUCCUCAUGUCUCCAAGUGCAUGCAAUCCAUUUCAUCCCAAAAUUGCUCUAAAAUGCACCAAAAUGCACUUUUCUUGCCAUCUUUGUUAUUAGGACCUACAAACAUACGAAAAUGGUUUAAAACACUCUUAUAAGCAAUAACUAACUAAGUAAGUGUAAGAAAACAUGUUAACUAAGUCGCAUAAAUAUGCUCCUAUCAACACCCCUAUAUAAACACCCUCAUUCUCUCCGAAACUCAAUUCCAAUUCUCUUGCUAAAUUCUUUAAAUUCUCCAAACAAUUUUCCAUCAAAAUUCUAACUUUAGGAUCGGAGGUUCUUUGGACAAAGCCCCCACCCCCACCCCCCCCCAAAAAAAAAAAUCAUCGUGUGCACGUGAGGCUCUUGGCAUUGACGUAAUGUGUUAUUUGUUUUGUAGGUGCAAUUUUGUCCAAGAACAAGGAGGAAGAAAUUUGCAUACACAAAUUGGUGCUUUCAUUGAGAGCUGGGUCACACGCUCGUAGAAGACUCUCGCAUCUAAGGUUUUUUGUUCCUUUGCUUAUUUGUAGAUUUUUCGUACGUUCUUCUUCUUGGAAUUUUUUUUUCUAAAAAUUCUUUGAUAAAACGUAAAAAAAAAAGUACAAUGGCAAGAGAUUUGGAAACCUCAACAAACAGAAAUUCCAACAUUCAAAGAUCAGGACCACGACGAUCUACAAGGCUCAACAUAGCAGUGAGCGAAGCGGCACCCCCACGACGCACCACCGUGGCAACCACCUUUGCCACUUCAACCGUCGAGGGCCCAAGCCUUAGCCUCGCACCCAUGGGUGCCACACUCCGAUCAGCCCACUCCCAUGGGCCAACCUGCUUCCGCGGCCCAGCUUGCUCCCGUGGCCCAGUCUGCUCCCACAACCCAGCAUGCUCCUGUGGCCUUCCAAGCAACCCGAAGUAGGACAAUGGUAGAUGAAGAACCUCUCCAACAGCGUCUUGGAAAUUAGCCACUGGACCAGUCACGAACCGAGCAUUUGGGCAGUGUACACUCCUAAUUGGGCCCCCGAGAUAACGUAUACUCCCGUUUUAGCUCGCGGAGGAGCGUGCACUCUCGACUAGGCCCACAGACGAGCAUAUACUCACGGUUGGAGCCACACUCCGAUAAUCAACAUAAAUAGCCUUCCAAGCGAAGCGUUCAUUUACGACUAAGCCCGCAAGGAGAAUCAUCCACAUCAUAUCAAAGUAGGCAGCACGACGGAUUGAGAGAAACAGUCACUCAAUUAGGCUUAAGCUUAACCAGCAGCCUAUAAAGAAUUCCCUCGCCUGCUAAGAACGAACCACAUGCACCGCAGCCGCAGCAUAGAUGAGCCGAGCACGUAGAAGAGUAGCAUAGGCCAAUAGGUCACGACUGAGGGCAGCCGAGAGCUCUGCUACCCUAAUAAAGGAAAAUUCAUGAAGAAGUAGAAAGGCUCUUGACCGAGUGAUUGCACGAUUUCCAAUAAGCACUAUGAUGGGACAUGACCAAUUACCCUUCACGGAAUAGAUCGAGCAGGCAGAGCCUCCACACAAGUUUAGCAUGCCACAUUUCACAUCCUUAAAAGGAGAUGGAAACCCGGGGAAACACUUGAAGCACUACCGAAGUGCAAUGAUUGUUUAUCAAAACAAUGACGAUCUCAUAUGCAAGAUAUUCACUAUCACUUUACAAGGCAAGGCGGAAUAUUGGUUCUACGCCCUGCCGCCAUAAUCCAUUUGGAGUUUCGACGAAUUUUCUUUGGUUUUCAUCAAAGAAUAUUCAUCCUAUUGCUCGAUCAAGAAAAAGUCCUACCACUUGUUCAACAUUGAGAAGAACCCAAAGGAGUCGCUUCGUGACUAUAUGAAGAGGUUCAAAGCAAAAAAGGUAAAGAUAGUCUGAUGCAACAACCCGAUAGCUAAAACAGCCUUCCAAAAAGGACUCAUAACAAACCACCCGAUGUUCAAAGAAUUGAUCAUGAAAUAAGGUCUAACUCUGGCAUAAUCUUUCGCUCUAGCAGAGAAGCAUGCACUUUGGGAUGAAGUUUUCCGAUGCACAUUCACGGCAAAUCUGAGCGAUCUUGAAUACGAAGUUCCCCACUACUCUGAAGGAGAUUCAAGGUCUGACUAGACGAGCAGCCAUAUCUGAAGCAAAAGUCCUACCACUUGUUCAACAUCGAGAAGAACCCAAAGGAGUCGCUUCAUGACUAUGUGAAGAGGUUCAAAGCAGAAAAGGUAAAGAUAGUCUGAUGCAACAACUCGAUAACUAAAACAGCCUUCCAAAAAGGACUCAUAACAAACCACCCGAUGUUCAAAGAAUUGAUCAUGAAAUAAGGUCUAACUCUGGCAGAAUCUUUCGCUCUAGCAGAGAAGCAUGCACUUUAGGAUGAAGUUUUCCGAUGCACAUUCAAGGCAAAUCCGAGCGAUCUUGAAUACGAAGUUCCCCACUACUCUGAAGGAGAUUCAAGGUCUGACUAGACGAGCAGCCAUAUCUGAAGCAACAAUAAGCUCUACCCUCAUACGAGAAAAGUUAGGGGCCCAACUACCUAUAUUCCACAAUUCAAAAGCUCUCCUCAAUGUAGAAACCAGCUACCAGAAAUUCAAAAGCUAACUUUGGUGACAAUUGUUGCAACCCGGAAGCUCAAGUUAUACCUUUAGAAACACGCAAUCAUCCUCGACGCACUAUUCUGCCAAAUCCAGACGUACGAUGAUAAAGGCAUAGACACUGCCGAAUGCAAAGUUUUCUGACGAGUGUAACAACUCAGCCCAAAAGGCACGCAAGAGCAAACAAACGCUAGAAAGACGUACUCAAAAGCAAGUUUUGUCCUCAUCACCCCAAAAGAUUAUACAUAAGAGCAACAUGUACCGGCAGUUGAACACCAAUUCCUGCUACGUGUCACUCGACCUUAACCGACCCUUGCUCCAUAAUUCAACCCUAGAGUGUCUUAAUAUUGGCAGUUGAGCAUCUCUAGCUGCACGUAACAUAGUCGUAGCUUCAUAGCUCCUUACCAUGCCUUCAUAAAGUAACAAGGCGACCCAAUGAUGGCUCUACGGCUCCUUACCGCACCUUCACGCCUAGCCUAGGUAACGCAAUAGAGCGGCCUAACGAUGCCUCGGAGGUAGCCAGGAACGCCCUAACAGCGCUUGCUCUACCCGAUGGAGACUUUUGGCAUAUGCCGACGGCAUAUCCAACUACAAAAGGUUCGAAAGCAGGCAUAGUCCUUGUCACCCCAGACAAUUUGAUGCUUAAGCAAGCGAUCACUCUAAGCUUUAAAGCAUCCAACAAUGAAGCAGAGUACGAGGCCUUACUAGCAGGCCUCCGAAUGGCAAAAGAUUUGGUGGUGAAAAAGCUUGCAAUUCAUUCUGAUUCCUAACUAAUCACUAGAUAGACCACUUGAGGUGUUUCAGACUUAUACCCUCAGUCAAGUUCCACAGGUAGACAACGCUCACGUGGACGCACUAACCGGCCUAGGCUCCAUCCUCGACCACCAACUUAUACGUUCUAUUCCGGUGGAGUAUCUAGACAAGCCAAGCAUAGAAGCGGAGCCAGCAGCAAAGGUGUCAUAGGUUAGUACAACUCCAAACUGACAAGAUUCCAUUAUAGACUACUUAGUCAAUGGCAUACUCCCCAUGGAAAGAUUGGAGUCUAGAAAGCUCCAAAUAAAGGCAGCACACUACUACAUAUGGAAUGGCAUUCUCAUCCAAAGAUCCUAUGUUGGACCACAUCUCUGCUGCCUAGCGCUUCCCGACAACCUAAAGGCACUAAGCUCAAGGUUAUGGAAAUCACUCCAAAGGCCAAUCAUUAGCAUAGAAGGCUCUAAACGCAGGCUACUACUGACCUACCAUGCACCAAAAUACUAAGGAGUUAGUAUAAAAGUACGACCGCUGCCAAUGCUAUAAGUUGGUACCAGCACUGCCUGCUAGCAAAUUAUACCCGCAGACGAGUCUUUGGCCGUGCAUGCAAUAGGCAAUCGACCUGAUAAGGCCAAUACCGCCUACUACUAGGGGCAAAGGCAUGACAAUAGUGAUAACCGAUUACUUCACCAAAUAGGUAGAAGUAAAGCCUAUGACUACCAUGACAUAGACGGACGUAGAACGCUUCAUAUGAAAGAACAUCAUUUUCCGAUUUGGCAUCCCUCAAUUCAUCAUCACAGACAAUACCUAGCAAUUUGUGGGCAAAGAUUUAGUGAAGUUCUUCCAAAACUAUGGCAUCAAGCAGCACAUGUCCACACCAAGAUAUCCUCAAGGCAAUGGGCUGAUCGAAGCAUCAAACAAGAUGAUUCUCGACUGCCUCAAGAAAUCCUUCACCAAUAAGAAAGGAAAAUGGCCAGACGAACUCCCCAGAUGUCUAUAGGCAUAUCGCACCACCAAAAGACAAACAACCAGUGAGACAAUUUUCUCUUUGGCAUUUGGCUCAUAAGCAAUCAUUCAUCCCAAUGUCAUCGUGCCAAGUAUCAACACUCUACUGCCAAGCAUUGAGCAGAAUAGUAAGGAGAUGGCAACAAGCUUAGAUUUGGCAGAGGAGAAGCGCGAGCAGACCAUCACCAGCAUCGUAGCCUACCAGCAGCAGCUCUUCUCUAGCCACAACAAAAAGGCCAAGAUCUGGCAGUUCUAGCCCUGAGAUCUAGUCCUAAGAAAAGCCUUCAUCACUGCCCAUAGAGAAGGCUCCAAAAAGAUAAAUCACAUAUGGGAAAGUCCGUACAAGAUCAGCAGAAUAUACAGCAAUAGUAGCUAUAACCCUGCCACCAUGAACGACAAAGAGAUCAAAAGUAGUGGAACGCCUACAAUCUGAGGAAGUACCAUACGUGACCUCCCACUACAUCAAAGCUCGAAGACUCAAGUAGCUCGAUGGGCACUACCUCACAAGUCGAUGACUAUAUUAUGCAGUUUCUACCUUAAAGCUAAGUUCUUGUUCAUUUCACUCGUUUUUCAAUGAGGAAUUUAAAAGCAGUUUAUAAUUGGCUCGAUUGCAUGCUUACAACAACUGAUCACUCUUGCACUUCAAAAAAAAAACCACGCCCUUCUUAGGGACUUAUCGCAGAAAUUAUGCUCCCCGAGUGACCAACCAUGCUCUCUAGUGCGAAAGGGUAAACCAAUUCCCUAACACCCAUCUAGGUUUGCUCUCCAGUGUGAGAAAAUAAACUAAUUGCUCUCCAGUGAGAGAGGGCCCGACACCCACAUGGGUCUGUUAUCCAACGCGGGAGGAUAAACUUACACUCUGAAUAUCCAAACAUGGAUGAGCCAGGCUACCCUAGUAUAACUAGGUGCAUGAUAGCUUGCACCGGGAUUCCUACAAGUAGCCACAAUGGUAUUUUUCAAGGCUUAGCUAACUGAAGGAUUUUGGGUCUUUUGGCCUAAUCCAUAGGGAACUGGGCCUUAAAGACGAAGAAGGCACAUUACCCAGAACGCCCUAUGGAUGGCUGCCCUGGAACCUUAAAGUUGUUAUCGAGUACACUAAGGUAGCCUACAGAUUCUGAAAGACCGUCUACAGCUUGCCCUUCGAGUAGUAAAGUCGCGCUAGACUUAUACAACCGCACAUUCUUGUGAAAGGUGAAAAAAGCUAGUGUGCAUAUAUGAAGCUUUAUCCAAUGCCGGUAUGUUAUGUAUUCGAUAAGCUUCACCUCUGCCAAGCACGGAACAACCUACACCAAGUCUUAAAGUGUUAUGAUACUUAUUACGCAACCUACGAAAUUGGAGAAAGCCAACGUUAACAACCUAGUGGUCACGCAGACUUGUUUGCUUCUGUAAGUAAAGGGUUUGGAUGCCGACCCUAUGGCUAAUAACUUUGCAAAAGUUCUACACCAACACAUACGGCUGCAUAGGCUAUGCGACCUAUCUGCUUAUAGAAAAGCAGCAAGGCCUGCGACUGGUCUAUAAAGUCUAAGGUUAAGGCAUGAACUAAAGAAGCGACGAUGAAGAAAAGCAAAGGAAGCAAGUUUAUUAAAUUUUCUAUCAAAAUUGAUAAACGACUAGCAAAGGCCAAAAAAGUUUAAGCAAAAUAAGAGCAACAAGGAAAACAAAGAAAAUCCUAAAGGCUACUUAGAAGACUACCCUUCAACAGCUUGGACAUCCCACGACUACUCGACCACCACACCUACAACAAUCGCAACGCUCCCAACAUCGGCAUCCUCCGACGUUUCACCGCCAACUGCUCUAGCUUGGGCAUCAACCUCUCCAACUACUUUACUAAUCGAGGCCUCAAAAGUAAAGGUAAGCAAGUCUUCUGGAGAAAUAGAGAAAGUCUCAAAACCUCGAGCCCAGCAUUCCCACCCUUCAACUGCUCGUUCUCCUCAAGCAAACCAACACGGACGUGCUGUAACUCAUCCACUUUCUUCUUCAGUCUUUCAUUGAUUUUCAGUACACCUUGAAGUUCCAACACUUGGGGUUCAAGCCUAUCGACGAAUCUCUUGAAGUGGAUCACUUGAUUAUAAGCAACAAUCAACUCUUCAUCAUUUGCAUAAGCAGCGAAACGAAGCUCAGAAACUGCAAACUCAAGAUCUUAAAUCUGAGAAGAAUAAGCUUGGGCUACCACAACCUUUGCCACCUCCUUAGCAGCCUUGGUAUCCUCUUGGUCAAGGAGUAUAGACUCGGCUGUGAGAAUUGUCGUUUUCUGCAUCAUUGCAAAUAGAGUAGUCUUCUUAUACUCGAUCGUAUACUUUGCAAAGGAACUUGGGCAAACAAUCCCUCUAACAUCAUCAAUAAAAUUAGCAUAAGUGUCCAUGUCUUCAAGCAGAUCUGGUUUUAAAAGCGCACAGAUCUCAAUAGCCUCCUCAGAAGUAGGCUUAGUGGAUUUCUCACAACUGCCCAUGCGAGCAGUCACCUCCUUCCUAUCAGGCGAAUCAGUCUCAACAGUAAAGGAAGCGGGUCUUGGAGCCAUUUUAGCAACAAAAUCCACCUUAUUGCUUUUGAUAAUAGCAAGUCUCUCCAAAGGUGAAUCAAACUUAGCUCUUAACGAACGUCUUGGUACAGACUUCGACACUGGGGGCAUAACAAGACCUCUACAAUGAGCAAUCCCAUCAGCAAUCGUACUAGUCAUUCUCGACAUGGCAGGCACCACAUGCUCAGAUCUAGCAGCCUCAUUUUUCUUCCUAUUGGAAUAAGUCAUGUCAAUCACAAGCCUCUCGGCAAUAGGCUGACCCUCACGAGCAGCAGAGGAAAUCUUCAAUUUUCUCAACCGGCAUUUCUUAAGUAGGCAAGGAAGAUCUCUUCUUUCUACCUUUAUACACAAUAGGCUCCACGAUAGCGAUCAAACCUUGAUCCUCUUUACCUUCUCUCUCGGGAGUAGCCCACCUUUCUCCUGAAGGAAAUUUUGUGAAAACAUGUCCAUUUAAGCAACAUUUAUAGCAUGCAAUUAACAAUUAAAAGGCGAAAUCAUGCUUGUAUGCACUUAAAAACAAAACAUUAACCAUGAAAUUCAAAGCCUAGUAGAUUGGUGAACCUUGACUCAACUUAAAACAACAUUUGUUAGUUGAGAAAUUAUACCUUUAUAGAUUCCUCUUUGCAUAAGCAAAGACUAAUCACCCAAAGAGAGGGCCUUCAUUCCUUGUGUGGAUGCAAAUUUCUUCCUCCUUGAUCUUGGACAAUUUUGCACCUACAAAACAAUUAACACCUUAGGUUAAGGCCAAGAGCCUCACGCGCCCACGAUGAAUGGGGGGGGGGGCUUUGGCCGAAGAAACUCCGAUGCCAAAGUUAGAAUUUAGAGAGAAAGAGUGUUUAGAGAAUUUUGGGAUUUUUGCCAAAGUGUUGGAAUUGGCUUUUUUGGUGAGAAUGAGAGUAUAUUUAUAGGGAUAGGAGGUGGCUAGGGUUUUUUGGGUUUAAUUUAGGUUUAAUUAGGAGUUACAAAAUUGAUUAUUUGUAUAAAUGGGGUAAUAAAGUGGAAAACAUAAAAAAAGGUGAAGAGCAAAGGGUGUGGCCGGCCAUUGACUAGUUUUAGGGUUGAAUUGGAUGUAUUUUUGUGGUUAUUUGGAUAUAAUGGAUGGUUUAAUUGACAAUUAAUGGGUUAAUUAGGCAAUAAACCCAUUAAUUAGCCAAUUAACAUAAUUUAAAAGGAAUGUGUUUGGGGAAUUACCUUGUAGAAAGGAUUUGAUGUGGUUGGAAGAUGAUUGCCACUGCUGCUCGCGCGUAGGAAUCCCGGUAUGCCUCAAGGGUAUUUUUGUCCUCUUUUGUCCAAAAGUCCACGUGUCGCCUAGUGAAUAUUUUUGGCUCCACAAAUGCCCCCACACCUGUUGGGCUGCUCGUAGGAAAGGGCAGCAGGUGUAGAGAUCUUCUUGUUUCAAGAAACGUAGGAUUGCUUCUUAUUUUGAUGUUGAUUCUCUCUUUAAUUGGAAAUUAGGUCCUUCUAGGAAAGGGAAAUAAAUUUCUCUCAAAGCCUAUUUAAGUCCACCUUAAGUGGGUUAUUAAAUCAACUUUGGAGAGCGAUUUAUUCUACCCUACAAGAGAGAGAUAGCUUAGAGGAUAUUUGUUCCCCCUCCUCUAGCAAUCUUCUACAUCUUGCCCAUGCAAAUGACCGUCUUUCGUUGCUUUCUUCGUCUUCUUCGUGCCGCACCAAUGUAAGAAAAAUUUAAUUUUUCUUGCCUUAUUCUUGGAUAGUGCUAUUGCGGGGUAGCCGUCGGGGUGGUGCGGCACGUCGGCUGGCAGGGGCCAGGAGCUGGCUCGGCAUGAGCUGAGGAGAUGUCGAGGCAGGGACCACUGCUUGGGCAGCUUGGCUUGGCUUGAGCCAAGGGCAGCUUGUGCAGCUGGGGUCGAGGAUUGUGGUGCUAGGGCACAGUGUUAGGCGAGCCGCAUGGCUCAUGUCAUUUGGGCUCUUAGACCUGACUCGGGGCAGGCUGGCGAUUGAGAGACAUAAGGAGAUUGCGGGUCUCAUGGGCUGCUGGAAUGUUGGGCAUGCAGGCAUUCUGCCUGCUGGAAUGCUGGGUUGAGCUCCCCUGCUGAGUACCAUGAAUGUCGUUGGCUGCUUAGUCUUCUUUGCUGAAAGAAAUGUGGGCUGCUCCAGAAAGAUAAGGUAAAGAGGAUCAAGGCGGAUGCAUUGGCUCGUCUGAUCGCUGUCGUGGAGCUUACUAUGAAUGAAGAUGGAAAGAAGAGAUCUUCCUCGCCUGCUCAUGAGAUGCCUAGUUAAGAAAAAACUGAAGACUUAUUCUGUUGCUCAUGAGGGUCCGCUUGCUACCGAGAGGUAUGUGAUUGACAUGACUUCUUCUAAUGGGAAGAAAAAUAAGGCUGCUAGAUCUGAGCAUGUGGCGUCUUCCAUGUUGAGAAUGGCUAGUACAAUUAUGGAUAAGAUUGCUCAGCAUAAAGGUUUUAUCAUGCCUCCAGUGCCGAAGUCUGUACCAGGACGUUCUUUGGGAGCCAAGUCCGGUUCACCUUUGUAGAGACUUGCUAUUAUGAAGAGUGGUAAGGUGGACUCUGCUGCUAAAGUGGCGCCAAAGCUUGCUCCCUUUGCUGCUGAGAUUGAUUCACCUCAGAUUCAAGAUCUUAAGCUUGCAAUUUCUGAGCUUCAUUUCGCUACUUAUGCUAAGAAGAGAGUGGAUGAGCUGCAACGCGUCCGUGUUAGUCUGCUUAAGAAGAAUGAGCAACUGAAGGGUGAGAAUGAUGGGCUUGAGGUUUUAAGACCUUCUCUAUUUCUCCGGAAGACUUGCUUGCUUUUACUUUUAAGGCUUCCAUUGGUGAAGUAGUUGGAGAAGUUAGUGCCCAGACUGGGGCAGCCAGGGGUGAAGCGUCGGAUGAUGCCGCUGCUAAGAGUGUUACGGCUGUUGAAGGUGUGGCGACCGAGUAGUCGUGGCAUGUCCAAGCUGCUGUAGUGUAGUAUUUUAGGUAGCCUUUAGGAUUUUCUUUGUUUUUCCUUGUAGCUUUUGUUUUGCUUGAACUCCUUCGGCCUUUGCUAGUUGUUUAUAAACAUGUUUUCCUUCGUUUUUCUUCAUCUUCACUUCUUUUGUUCAUGCCCUAACCUUUAGACUUGAUAGACCAGUGGCAGGCAUGCUACUUUUUUAUAAGCAGACAAACUCGCGUAGCCUAUGCAGCCGUAGGUGUUGGUGUAGAACUUUGCAAAGUUGUUAGCUAUAGGGUUGGCAGCCGGAUGCCUUACUUACAGAAGCAGACAAGUCCGCGUAACCACUAGGCUGUUAACCUUGACUUUCUUCAAUUCCGUAGGUUGCGUAGCAAGUAUCACAACACUUUAGGACUUGGGUGAAGCUUAUCGACUACGUAGCAUGUCGGCAGUGGAUAAAACUUCGUAUAUGCGCGCUAGUUUGUUUAACCUUUCACAAGAAUGUGCGGUUGUAUAAGUCUAGUGCGGCUUCACUGCUCGAAGGGCAAGCCGUAGGCAGUCUUCCGGAAUCCGUAGGCUACCUUAGUGCCUCGGUAGCAGCUUUAGGAUUCCAGGGCAGCCGUCCAUCGGAUGUACUGCGUAAUGUGCCAUCUCCGUCUCUAGGGCCCGGUUCCCUACGGAUUAGGCCAAGAGACCCAAAAUCCUUCAGUUAGCUAAGCCUUGAAAAAGACCAUUGCGGCUACUUCUAGGAAUCCCGGCGCAAGCCAUCGUGCAUCUAGUUAUACUAGGGCAGCCAGGCUCAUCCACGUCUGGAUAUUCGGAGUGUAAAGUUUAUCCUCCCGUCUUGGAGAGCUGACCCAUAUGGGUGUCGGAGAAUUGGUUUACCCUCUCGCACUGGAGAGCAUGGUUGGUCCCUCGGGGGGCGCAAUUCCUGCGAUGAGUCCCUAAGAAGGGCGUAGUCUUCUUUUGAAGUGCAGGAGUGAUUAGUUGUUGUAAGCAUGCAGCCAAGCCAAGUUGUGAUUACUUCUAAAUUCCUCAUUGAAAAACGAGUGAAACGAAUGAGAACUUUAGCUGUAAGGUAGGAACUGCAUAACAACUGGAUAGUCCUCAGCUUGUGAGGUGGUGCCCGUCGAGCUUAUUGAGUCUUCGGGUUUUGAUGUAGCGGGAGGUCACACAUGGUACUUCUUCAGAUUGUAGGUCAUCCAUUUCUUUUCAAUCUUUUUACCGCUUCAUGGUGGUGAGGGUGUAAUUACUCUUGCCCCCUACUCUGUUGAUCUUGUACGGACCUUCCCAGAUGGGAUCCAUCUUUUUGGAGCCUUCUCUGCCGGCAGUGAUGAAGGUUUUUCUGCGUCGUCGACAUGCAAAUGCCAGAAGUCUCCAUCGGGUGGAGUAGGCGCAGCUAGAGUGUGCUCGGCUACUUCUGAGGCAUCGUUGGGCCGCUCUGUUACGUCACCUAGGCUCGGCGUGAAGAUGCAGUAGGGAGCUAUGGAGAUGGGGCCAUGUCAUUCGCAACAGGAGAUGCUCAACUGCCGGUAUUGGGCCACUCUAGAGUUGAAUCAUUGAGCAAGGGUCGGCUAGGGCCGUGUGAUGCGCAGCAAGAAAUGGUACUCAACUGCCGGUACAUGUUGCUCCUAUGUAGAAUCUUUUAGGGUGACGAGGACAAAACUUGCUUUCGAGUGUGUCCUUCCAGUGUUGCGUUCGUCAGAAAACUUUACAUCCGCCAGGGUCUACGCCUUUAUCGUCGCGCGUCUGGAUUGGGCAGAAUAGUACGUCAUUAGGAUAAUUGCAUGCGUUUGAAAGUAAAACUUGUGCUUCUGGGUUGCAACAACUAUCGCCAAAGUUAGCUUUUGAAUUUUUAAUAACAUCGAGGAGAGCUUUUGAACUGUAGAAUACAGGUAACUGUGGAAUACAGGUAGUCGGGCCCCCAUCUCUUCUCGCAUGAUGGUAGAGCUUAUUGCUACUUUAGAUACCGUCAAACAUGUGAAUAAGUCCUCCGCUGCUUCUAGGGAGGUGAUGUCGGGUACUUCUUCAAGUCCUUGAAUGUGCAUUGGCGAGCCUCAUCCCAAAGUGCAUACUUCUCUGCCAAAGCAAAAGAGUCUGCCAGAGUUAGAUCUUCUUUCAUGAUCAAUUUUCCGAAUAGCGGGUGGUCUGCUGGAAGUCCUUUUUGGAAGGCUGCUCUAGCUAUCGAGUCGUUGCAUCCGACUAUUUUUGCCUUCUCUACUUUGAACCUCCUCACAUAGUCGCGAAGUGACUCCUUUGGGUUCUUCUUGACGUUGAACAAAUGAUCAGAUUUCUUUUUUAUCGAGCGAUAGGAUGAAUAUUCUUUGGUGAAAACCAAAGAAAGUUCGUAGAAAUUCCGGAUGGAUUGUGGCGGCAGGGUGUAGAACCAAUCUUGCGCCUCGCCUUGUAGAGUGGUGGCGAAUAUCUUGCACAUAAGCUCAUCGUUGUUUCGAUAAAGGAUCAUUGCGCUUCGGUAGCGCUUUAAGUGUCUCUCCGAGUCUUCAUCCCCUUUGAAAGAUGUGAAAUGUGGCAUGCUGAACUCUCGUGGAGGCUCUGCCUGCUCGAUCUCGUCCGUAAAGGGUGACCUGCUUAUGUUGGUCAUGUUCCAUCGUAGUGCCUCGUCGGUGACCUCGUUGCAUUGGAAAUCAUGCAAUCGCUUGGUCAAGAGUCUCUCUACUUCUUCCUGAAUUUGCCUUUGUUGGGGUAGCGGAGCUUUCGGCUGCCCCCAGCCAUGACUUGGUGGUCUAUACUGCUCUUCCAUGUGUUUAGCUCGUCUACGCCACAGAUGCAAUGCAUGUGGUGCGUUCCUAGCAGGCGAGCGAGUUCUUCGCAGGCUGCUGGUUGAACUUGAGCUGGAUUGAGUGACUGCCUCUUUCCGUCCGUCGUGCUGCCUACUCUGAUGUGAGGUGGAUGAUGCUCCUUGUGGGCUUAGCCGCGAAUGAACACUUUGUCCGGAAGGUUGCUCAUGUUGACUAUCGGAGUGUGACCCCAACCGUGAAUGUAUGCUCAUCCGUGGGCCUAGUCGAGAGUACACGCUCCUCCGGGCGCUAAGACGGGAGUAUACGCUAUCUCGGGGGCCCAAUCGGGAAUGUAGACUGCCUGAACGUUCGGCUCGUGGCUGGUCGAAUGGCUGCUUGCCGGGACGCUGCUGGAAAGGUUCGUCUGCCCUUGUCCUACUUCGGGAUACCUCGUCCAGGGCACGUUGGAUCCCGAUGCGUUGCAAAAGUUGAUUCACCAAAGUUGUCUGUUGUGCAAGGGUGCUCGUCAACUCUAUGACUUGUCGAGACAAGUGUUGUUCGCCAUUUGGAUUGGAAGAGCUUGGAAGGAAUGCGCCUCCUUGGGCAGUGGAAAUGUGGUAGACUCCGGGUGCGAGAUUUGAAUUGGGAAAUGUCAAAUCCGCGAAAAAAUAUGGUGAGAAUGCCCCCGGCUCGAUGGUAGGUCCGGAUGGUUGAGAUAGUCUUGGGUCGACUUGGGCUGCUUGGAAAGCCACUGGAGCAUGAUGGGCUGUGAGAGUGGGCUGCUCGUCGGGAGCAGGCUGGGUCACGAGAGCAGGCUGCUUGGCAGGAGCAGGUUGGGCCGUGAGAGUGGGCUGCUCGACGGAAGCAGGCUGAACCACGAGAGUGAGCUGCUCGUCGGGAGCAGGCUAGGUCACGAGAGCAGGCUGCUUGGCAGGAGCAGGCUGGGCCACAGGAGUGGGCUGCUCGACGGAAGCAGGCUGGACCACAGGAGUGGGUUGCUCGUCGGGAACAGGCUGGGUCACGAGAGCAGGCUGCUUGGCAGGAGCAGGCUGGGCCACGGGAGUGGGCUGCUUGGCAGGAGCAAGCUGGGCCACCGGAGUGGGCUGCUCGACGAAAGCAGGCUGGGCCACGGGAGUGGGCUGCUCGUCGGGAGCAGGCUGGGUCACGAGAGCAAGCUGCUCGGCUGGAGCAAGUUGGGCCGUGAGAGUGGGUUGCUUGACGGGAACAGGCUGGAUCACGGGAGCAGGCUGCUCAAUGCGCGGUGUAUAUGAAUGCGAGGCUUGGGCUUGGGUCCACGUAAACUUAGAUGGCACGGCUUGGAUCGUGGUCUUGGUACCGUGAGCCUUGGAUGGCACGGCUCGGGUCGUGGUGAAGGCUCCAUGGACCUCGCCACGAGUGGCUACCGAAGUAGCCACCGCGGUGGUUCCCAUAAUGGCCAUGGUGAAGGCACCAUGGACCUCGCCGCGGGUAGCUACCGAGGUAGCCACCACGGUGGUUCCCAUGGUAGAAGCUUGUGGUGAUGAUGCCGCUCCCCUUAUUGUCGCAUUUUGCCUCACGGAUCUCCGGGCCGUGGUGAAGGCUCCAUGGACCUCGCCACGAGUGGCUACCGAAGUAGCCACCGCGGUGGUUCCCAUGGCGGCCGUGGUGAAGGCACCAUGGACCUCGCCGCAGGUGGCUACCGAGGUAGCCACCACGGUGGUUCCCAUGGUGGAAGCUCGUGAUGAUGAUGCCACUCCCCUUAUUAUCGCAUUUAGCCUCACGGAUCUCCGCAAUCCCAUUUCUUGAACAUUAGAAUUUUCACUUGUGGAAUUUUCUAAAUUUCUAGCCAUUAUAUUUUGCUUAUACGUUUUAUCAAAGAACCUUUGCAAGUAAAAAAUUCUAAUAAUAAGAACGUAUGAAAAAUAUUCAAAUGGACUAGAAAAUAAAGAAAAAACUUUUUUGUGCGAGAGUCUUCUACAAGUAUGGAUUUCAACUCUCAAUGAAAGCACCAAUUUGUGGAUGCAAAUUUCUUCCUCCUUGAUCUUGGACAAUUUUGCACCUACAAAACAAUUAACACCUUAGGUUAAGGCCAAGAGCCUCACGCGCCCACGAUGAAUGGGGGGGGGUUUGGCCGAAGAACCUCCGAUGCCAAAGUUAGAAUUUAGAGAGAAAGAGUGUUUAGAGAAUUUUGGGAUUUUUGCCAAAGUGUUGGAAUUGGCUUUUUUGGUGAGAAUGAGAGUAUAUUUAUAGGGAUAGGAAGUGGCUAGGGUUUUUUGGGUUUAAUUUAGGUUUAAUUAGGAGUUACAAAAUUGAUUAUUUGUAUAAAUGGGGUAAUAAAGUGGAAAACAUAAAAAAAGGUGAAGAGCAAAGGGUGUGGCCGGCCAUUGACUAGUUUUAGGGUUGAAUUGGAUGUAUUUUGUGGUUAUUUGGAUAUAAUGGAUGGUUUAAUUGACAAUUAAUGGGUUAAUUAGGCAAUAAACCCAUUAAUUAGCCAAUUAACAUAAUUUAAAAGGAAUGUGUUUGGGAAUUACCUUGUAGAAAGGAUUUGAUGUGGUUGGAAGAUGAUUGCCCACUGCUCGCGCGUAGGAAUCCCGGUAUGCCUCAAGGGUAUUUUUGUCCUCUUUUGUCCAAAAGUCCACGUGUCGCCUAGUGAAUAUUUUUGGCUCCACACCUUGCAUCUUAGAUCUAUGGAUUUGGAUGGAUGAAAUGGUUCUCCAAGUUCCCAAAAUUGAGAACCUCUAAGUCUCUUCACCAAGGUUAGAUUGGAGAAGAAAUGAGUGACCUUGGAGUAGUAUGAUUACUAGCUAAACUCUCCAAGGAGGCCGGCCACUUUAGAGAGAAAGGAGAGCUUAUGUUCUCAUCCUUUCCCCAAAAGAAAACCCUAAAUGAAUUUUGGCUAUAAAGUCAUAUUUAUACUUUUAUUCAUUGGAGUGGCAAACUUGUAAUUAAGUCCAAAACCCACUCCUUUAACAAAAUGGCCGGCCAUAGGGUUUCAUUGGGGUUUUAAGGCCUUUGUGAAUUAUUUGUCAUUAAGUAAUCAUACAACUUAAGUCAAUGGGCUUGACGUUCGAAGCUCAUUGGGCCUUGAGGCCCAAAACUAUCCCGAGGUCUUUAACGAACUUAUUCGUUGAUUAAUUAACAUAUUAAUUAAUCCUUGCCAUAAAUAAUUAAACCAUUUAAUUAUUCUUACUCAUCUCCAUUGUUUCUUCAAUCUCCACCUUACACGGUGUACGAUCCAUUAGGUUCCUUUUAGCGAGGCAGUGGGCGAUUAAAACCAUUUCAAAUCGAUUGUGAAUUGAAACUUACUUUCAAUUCUCCCUUUAGUGAUUAUACACGUUUAGGGCUUCCACAAACCAUGAGUGACACCUAGCAGCAUAUCAUGGUUACCCAAGCUAAUCAGAAGAGGUGAAGAACCUAUUCAGUUUGGGAUUACAAAUGCAAUACGGUCUUUCUCUAAUACAAUACUCUUGACCACAUUGUUUGGUUUGAUAGUUUAUUCAUGUCUACUAUCCAAUGUGAUUCGUGUGCUUAUAUGAUUACCUUGAAUGUGAUUUGGAACGACUUCCUAAAUCUCAUUCAUACUCUGGCCAGAGAUUCUUAAUCAUAUCAUAGAGUAUUCUCCCCUAAAUGGUUUGAAGGUUAGAGAUCCCUUGUUGCGCAUUCACUUGCCUCCAUGGCUAAGUGGCUUAACCCCGACGAUGCCGUGGACACCCGCGGAUGGGGUGACUUUGACAUAAUCAAAGAUCAAUGACCUAACCACAAGACAACUAUGAUGCCUCAGGUCAAAGGACUACUUUGCAUUAUCCCAACCAUGAGUUCUCAUGUGACAUGAGUAUGAGAAUUCUUCGUUGAUCGUGUUCAGUGAACUCAUUCCUUAUUGAGCACCUACGUACUUGUCUUGGUGUCAGUCACACCAAUGACUCGAGACUAGUCACUCUCCCUGAGAGAAGACAUAGCACAUACUGAUUUUAACGGACUGUCAAUGCCCAAUUGGCAAUCCUAUGAUCAGGAACGUUUAGGAUAUGUAUACGAAAGAGAAUGGUCUCAUAAAUCUAACUUGUUUAAAUUACAUUCUCCUAAUUACAUAUUCCUUGGACUUAUCAUUUAAGCAUAUAACAUUUAUAUGAGACGGCUUAAAACAAUAAUCUAUGCCCUUGAUAUUAAACUAGAUUAGUUUAACAUGUGAAAUGUCCGUAAAGUAUCAUCAUAUGAUUGGUUUUAGGGCACAUUUCCAACAUCUCCCAACGAAGAGAACUAAGCAACCAACACCAUUCACAAUACUCAAUAGGGGAACUCAACCCAUACUGGUUUUUCCCUCAUUUUUUCUCUUGGACCAGUAGGCAUGAGGCAUGCGACCUCUUCAUUUCUCUCAAUCGCUGACCUGGCCCACGUUAGGUCCAAGAGUUCAAAGGACAUGAGCCAUGCGGCUCGUCUAACACUGCACCCUAACGCCACUAUCCAUGGCCCCAGCCGCAUAAGCUACCCUUGUCUCUAGCCAAGCCGAACAACCCAAUCAGUGGUCCUUGCCACAACACCUCCUCAGCCCAUGUGGAGCCAACUUCUGGUCCUUGUCAGCCAACGUGCCGCACCACCCCGAUGGCUGCCUCGCAACAGUAUUAUCCAAGAAGAAGACAAGGAAAUUUAAAUUCUUCUUACCUCGAUGCGGUGCGGAGAAGACGAGGCAAGCAACGAAAGAUGAUCCUUUGCAUGGGCAAGAUGUAGAAGAUUGCUAGAAGAGGGGGAACAAAUAUCCUCUAAGCUUUCUCUCUCUCUUUUAGGGUAGCAUAAAUCGCUCUCCAAAGUUGAUUUAAUAAUCCAGUUAAGGUGGACUUAAAUAGGCUUUGAGAGAAAUUUAUUUCCCUUUCCUAGAAGGAUCUAAUUUCCAAUUAAAGAGGGAAUCUACAUCAAAACAGGAAACAAUCCUAAGUUUCCCAAAGCAAUAAGAUCUCUACACCUACUGCCCUUUUCUGCGAGCAGCCCAACAGUUGUGGGGGCUGAUAGGAUUUUUACCACCUACAGAGAAGGGUUAAAAACACCUAAAAUACUUGCAAGAGAAACAAGGUUAUUGUAGUAUAAUUGGCUCAAGUAAGGUCGUUCUCCACAAGGAUUAAUUUAAAAAGAUCAAAGAGAAAUCAAUUCUCAACUAAUUAAUUAAAACAAAGUUUUUGAAAGAGGUGAUUUAAUGACCUAAAUUAAGAAAAAAAUGAAUUUAAUUAAAAAGAUUACUUAAAAACUGCAACUUUAAAGAAGGAGAAUGAAACAAUUUUUAGAAUUCAAAGUGAGAAAUUACUAAGGUUCCGUCGUCACCCUAACAAUCCUAUGUAGCUCUUUUAAUUACUUAUGAACCAUACAUGCAUAUUUUGAAGGUUAGGUUUUCCUAAAGUAUAUCCUACUUGGAACUUCCAACAUAUAACGUAUAUCUAACAUACAACCCGUCCGUGGUGUCUAGAUCGAAUGUGAACAUGCAAGACUCAUUAAGUUUUAUGAAAACCUUUUGAAAAACCAUAUAACCCUUAAAACAUGUCGUCCAUCCUAAGAGGUUACACAUAUUAACCACAAGAAGCCUUAGUCAAUUUUAGGGACAGCCCUCUGCCAAAAUUGCAUCAAAUUACUUUUCUAAAUAUCCUAAUGGUCGCGAAUCACUAAGACAAAUAAAUAGUUUAAACCGGUGAUUAACAAUUCAAAACUUACAUGCAUGAAUUCAUAAGCAAAUUAAAAAAGGGACUACAUAUUCUUACUAAGGAUCAUGGCCUCACCCUAACAAAGAAGAUUAGUUACGCAUAUUCAUACUAAAAAUCAUAAAGUCUUUAUUGAAAUAGAAAAAGAAUGAAAACACCUUGAAAGUAUAAGUCCUGAAAUCUCUAAGCUUUGCCCCCAAAAUAUUCUUCCCAAAAAUUGCAUGCCUUCUAGAGAAACCCUAGGUCUGCCAGAAGGCUUAUUUAUACUACUCUAAUUAAAAUCCUCCUAGUCAAGGUCUUAGAAUAAGACUAUGAAACUAAAUCAAUUGAAACAAAAUAGGAAACAUAAUUCUGAAUUGACUGGGUAAAUUCGCCCAAAAUUCUGCACAGCCACGGUUUGGACCCAUAUUAUCUGCAAAACUAGCCCAAAAUUGCUAGAUUUAAAGCUUGGAUUAUUCUGAACACUUCUCCAGAAGGCCACGAACCCAUCUGACAUCAUCUUGGGCUUCAAAAACUGCUUUUAAGCCCAAAAAACUUUCCAACAACGCGCACUGCUCCUUUAUUUAAUUGCCAAAAAGUAACCGCUUGAUAGAAAUUGCUGAAAUUUUGAUAAGAAUAUGCCAAGAGACACCCGAACGUCCUCCAAUUUUGUUUGUUUGAGUACGUUUUCUCCGAAAGAAGUCGAAUGUCCUAUGUUAAAAAUAUGAAACAAAGUAUCAAAAUUUUACCAAAGUAAUUACCAAAUUAUACUAAGAAUAGGAUGAAAUAUAUAAUAUAAUAUUGACUCAUCAGGGUCAUUUGUGGAGCCAAAAAUAAGCAAGAGGCAAUAUGUGGAUUUUUGUGUUAAAAGGACAAAAUUACCAUUGAGGCACAUCGGAAUUCCUACGCACGAGCAGUUGACAAUCAUCCCUCAAUCAAGUCAAAAGUACCCAAAUAGGUAUUUAUUUAUAACCUAUUUCAUCCAUCCCUCAUCAUAUAUUCUCCACAAGGUAACCCCUAAAUCAUUCCUUUUUUAUUAUAUUAAUUAGCUAAUUAAUUGAUCAAUUAUUCAAUUAAUUUGCUAAUUAAACACAAAUCACGAACUUGACCCAUAAAUCCAUCCAAGUGGCUGGUCCAUCUCCUCCCAAGGUGGCUAGCCACACCCCUAUAUAAACACCCUCAUUCUUUCCAAAACUCAAUUCCAAUUCUCUUGCUAAAUUCUCCAAACAUUUUUCCCUCAAAAUUCUAACUUUGGCAUCAGAGGUUCUUCAGCCAAAACGCCCCCCCCCCCCCAAUUCAUCUUGGGCACGUGAGGCGCUUGGCCUUAACCUAAGGUGUUAUUUAUUUUGUAGUUGCAAUUUUGUCCAAGAACAAGGAGGAAGAAAUUUGCAUCCACAAUUGUGUUUUUAGUUUUUAGCAAAGAUUAAGAUUUGUGUGGGUGGAGAUAUUUCUUUUUUUUCUUCACAUAAUUCAAAAUUAAAAUGGAAGAGGAAGAUAGGGUUUGUGUGGGUGUACACAUACCCCUCUUUAGUUCUUACCAAAAUUACGGUUUGUGCAGGUGUAGAUAAUUUUAAUUAGGAUUUUUUUUUGAAAUGUCAUAUGAACUUGUACGCAUUUUAAUUUGUCAUAUAAGCUAAAAUUUUAAGCAAUUUGUCAUGCCAACAUUUUGAAAUCAUUAAUUUGUCAUCUCUCUUUAACUCCAUUAAGUUUUCCAUCUAAUAUAGGUCAUGUGCCUAGCACAUGACUUGUGUUUAGGGUUAUUUCGAUCCUUUUAAUACUUUACUUCCUUUUUAUUAAGUUAUUUCUGAAUAUUCCAAAUAUAUAGUGAUACACAAGUGAGAGUUUGCAUUUUAGCAUGUCAUGAAGACAUAAUUUCAUACGGGCUCUAUAAAUGAGAAAUAAGUUGUGCCAUAAAUUGAGUUGUAGAUGCAUAUGCGCUAAAGAAAAUUAAAAAAUUUAAAUGUUUGUAGUAAAGAAAAGUAAAAGCCUUGUGAAAAGAUGUUAAAAUGACCUAAAUAACCCCGAACACAAGUCAUAUGAAAGGAUCAUGACUUUUAUUGGAUGGAAAACUUAACGCAGUUAGGGUGAGAUGACAAAUUAAUAAUUUUGUAAAGUUGGUGUGACAAAUUGCUUAAAAUUUUAGUUUAUACGACAAAUUGAAAAAUAUGAACAAGUUCAUAGGACAUUUAAAAAAAAAAUCCCUUUUAAUUAGUAUCGAACUCGUCGUCCACGAGAUUCGAAUUUAAGACUUUUCACUUAUAAAGAAACAAUCAUUAAACUGUAGUAUUAAAUGACAAAAUUCUUUUUCUUUAGUGCGUUAUAUAUAAACAAACUCAAUUCGUGGAUUUACUAGGGUAAUAUUGCUCUUUGCCCCAUGAGCUUUCGACAAAUAGUCAUCAAGUCAUUUCAUCAUAUGGAUAACUAAAAUGAAAAAAACAAAGGAACAACUACCAACAUAAAGACCAAACUCACACAACAUACGCACAACACUGCAUUUGUACACAAAGCCCUCAUAUUUUCAUUACACUCAUAUUUUAAUUAAUACUUAUUAGGCCAUCUCCAACCGAAGGGUCCAGAGGGCCAGAGGGCCGAAAAUAGCCCUAAAACCGUCUCCAACCGAGGGCUAGGUCAGAGGGCUCUGGAAUCUGGGAGGGUCCCACGGGAUCGGAGAGGGCUGGAGGGCUGGAGGGCUGGCUGCUUUCGGCCAGCCAGCCAGCCCCGGGCUGGCUAUUUUUUUUUUUAAUGUUUCUCAUUUCUGUCGGUUAUAACCGACAGAAAUAACAAUUUGAAUUUAAACUUCCAACGGCUAGCGCCACUAGCCGUUGUAAACCUUUUUUUUUUUUUUUAUGAAUUUAAACCUUUUUUUUCUUUUUUUUUCUAUAACUUCCUAUAACUUCUAUUUUACAAAAUUUGUUUCAAUUUUUUUAUUUCUAUUUUUUUCCUAUAACUUCUAUUUUACAAAAUUUGUUUCAUAUUUUUUUUUUAAAUUCCAUUUUUUUCCUAUAACUUCUAUUCACAAAAUUUGUUUCAUAUUUUUUUUAAAUUCUAUUUUUUUCCUAUAACUUCCUAAGCCAUUAUACAACAUUAAAUUAAAUUAAGUAACAUGAAACAACAUUAAACAAUAUGAAACAACAUUAAAUAACAUUAACCAACAUAAAAAUUAUACAACACUAACCAACAUGAUUUUUAAAUAAAAUUAAGUUGUAGUUUUUAAAUAAUAAAUUAUGUUUGGCUCUAUGGCCCUUUGGCCCUCGGUUUAGACGGUUUUUUGUGACAGGGCUAAAACGAGCCCUCUGGCCCUCGGUUGGAGACGGAGGCAAAUAUGGUCAUGUACUGUUCAUUAAAAUAUUAAUAUCUUUGAGAAUCUUGGAGGGCCAGAGGGCUAAAACGAGCUCUCUGGCCAGCCAUCGGUUGGAGAUGGCCUUAGGCAAUAUGCAUCGUGGCUUGGUUAUCGCUGAUGAGAGACAAUGGUGAGCUGUUGGAGAUUCCCAAAUCACAUAGAAGUCCUUUGGGCCAUAUGAGUUCACAUGUUGUUGAUGUCAUGUGGGAGCUAAGCAACACCAUUUAAUAUAAUGGUUUUUGGUGUGUUUGUGAAUUUUUAAUCCUGAGGAGAUUCAUGUGGUUAUAUUUUGUUGUACAUUGAACUUACACAUGGUCACCAAAUGACAUCAUCUCUAAGCCUGUUAAUUUCCAUCUAUGGCAAUAGGAGGACCGAUAUUCCUUCAUUCCACUAUUUUCCACAAGAUAAAGUGAGACAUACUUUUCGACUAAAUGGUAAAACUUUGAGGGUUGAAUUAGAAGAACUUUAAUAAAAAACUUCUGGUACUGUUCAUUUUAACGAAAAAUUACAUUUUUACACUAAAAAAUUAAUCCAAGUAUUAUUCACUUUACUCUUUAUUUUGUCCUUAUCUUUAAAACUCAAAGUUUUCAAAUCCCUUUAUUAGUUUUCCUUUGAAUUAAAUUGCCCGCACUGAUUUGGAAAACCUAAACGUUGACUGACUGAGAGGGCAGAAGACAAGUUCUAAGCACCCGACUUGUACCAUCUGUCAUUGGUUUUUGUGCACUUUAUAUUAGUGAUGAUAAUUAAGGUGCUUAUUCCACCACCACAACCAAACAAGGAUAGAUAAUUUCUUUAUUCUGUUUUUAUUCAUUGAAGUAGUUUUUUGUUUCGAUUUAAUUAAUAGGAACAAGGCAUAACUAAAAUUUUGUCAAAUGACAUGACCAAGUGAGUUUUCUUAACCAACCGUGUGGAGUCAACAAAUUUAUGUCAAAUUGCGUGUUUUCAAAGUUAUCAGUUCAAUACAAAAGUUAAGUUAUUAGACUGCAUGAUAGGGUAUGCAGAUUUUUUUUUUUUUUUUAACAAAUAGGGUAUACAAAUUUAAUCUAAACUACAAAAAAAAUGAUGCAAAUAAAAGAAAAACUAUGCUCUAACGUACCUGCAGGUAGUCACUUAGAAUCGAAUGAAUGUGUUGAAUACGUUGAAACCUAAACUAGAUCACUUAUGGUUCAUUAUGAAACCCUAGACUUUCAUCGUUUUUCAAACCUCUUUCCAAUUGUUACCGAAAAGAAAAGAAAAAACCUCAUUCCAACCUUUUCAUCUCCUACUUCUUGUUUAAGUUUAUGUUUUGCUUUUUUCGCUUAAAAGAUUUUUGAUACGGCCGGAUCCCGAUAUUUCCCAAAUACCAGGAUAGGUACGUGCUGGCAGACACUCAAGGAUGACGAAAGUCAUUUAUUGAGUGCAAAAGCUGAAAACAAGGGAUAAAUAAGACUUAUAAAUAUAAAAGAAUAAAGAAUAUGCAUUUAAGGAAUGUGUCCAGAGCAUACAACUAAUUAGAACACUAAUAGAAUUAAUAUAAAAUUGAAUGAAUAAAAGAAUGGGUCCUACACCGAUAGGACUUGAAGACGCCAAUGCAGAAGUGCCUUGACGCCGAGAUUGUAUGUCUUGCUUCUAAGUCCUGAAGGGGGCGCAAAACAAACAUGAGUGAACCAAGUUGAUAUAUAUAUACUAAAACAGUUAUCAACGUACUAACCCCAGGUUUUAUGAAAACACAUAUAUAUCAUGAUAAACAUAGGUUUUCCAAAACCUAGCUUGUCGUGCAAUGUCUCAAACUAUAACUCGUAUAUAUAAUAAUCACUAAUAAAUGUCCAAUAUCUCUCCAAGCCCCAUGCCGGCUCCCCGUCACUGAGCAGACAAUCAGAGGAAAAUUACCCCCAAGUCCCAUGCCGGCUCCCCGUCUCUGUGCUAAAUAGCUAGAGGAAACACACUCUAGGCCCUAUGCCAACACCAAACCGUCUCCUGGGACGGACCGGGAUCUAUCCCUAUGUCUCGUAGCGGAAUAAGGACCAUUAGGUAAGUACAAAACCAUUGAACAUAUAUAUAUUGAAAAGCAACUUCAUAGUAUAAAGUCAUCCAUCAUCUAUAUUAUAAAGAGGUGUUCGAAACAUAUUCUAAAUAUCAUAUUGUCAUCUAUCGGAUAUUCUAUAAGAACACGGGUUAUAGGAAAAAUAAUAGUAAUUCAAUCUAGCCUCAGUAAGCAUGUUAUCUCAAAGCGUUUCAUAGAACAUAAUCAUUAAAUCAUGUUUUUCAUGUAUGCAUUUCUAUUAUCAAAACAUGCAUUUUUAGAAGGGGUCCACUCACAGAUACUUAGCCGCCGAAGAGCCACGCAAACUAGCGGAGACAGAACGCCACCAUAAUUGCCCCUAAACACAUACAGUGUACAUUUGGUCAAAAUCUACUCAAACGACUUAAUUUGGGAAAACGGACAACCUCGAAAUUAGCCUAGGAAGGGUCCUGGACGAAAACCUAAAAAAGUCAACGGUCAAAUUCAAAGUCAACGCUGACUGUUGACCCGGUCAACGCAGGUCAAAAGGUCUGGGCUUGGGUUGGAUACAGAUUGGGCCAAGGGUUAGUGGACCGGAUCCAUGGCCCAAAGGCCUAAGGUCCAAAUAGGGUUAAAGGGUUAAGGGCUUAAAGGGGUUUUCUGGGUUGGGUCCAAUUGGGUGUUGGGCUUGAGGCCCGUGUCUUAGAUGGCCCAAGGGCCUAGUCAAAAGGGUUUUUGGGUUUAAAACAACGGACCUAAAGCCCUAGGUUUGGCACGGCCCAAAGGGCCUUUAGUUUACUAGACUAAAUUAAAUAAAACAAUUUAUAUUAAAGGGUUGGGCUGGGUUUUCCAACGGGCCCAAGGCCCGAGUUUUAAAAACGGCCCGAAGGGCCUGGGUUCACUUGCUCUCGCCAGGGAAGGAGGCCGGAGCCUUCUGUGCUCCGGUCGACGACACAACGUCACCUUAGGUUCCGAUCUAAGUGCCAAAUUGAAGUACAAGAUUAGAGGAAUGUUUUGUACCUUUAGUUCACCGUGAAAGGACUAGAGGUGGCCGGACUUGGGCUCGUAAACCCACGGCUCGCCGGAAACUGGGUUAAGCACACCCGUGGCGUCUCCGUAUGAUUUCGUCGUCCUAAAGACAUAAUCAAGGUUAGAAUUUGGCAAAAAGGACAAAGAUGAACAGAUUUCAAGGGAACCGAGGCUUACCAGUCAUCAGAAAGGCGAGGAACUUGGCAGAGUUCUUCUGUGCUCCACAGAGGCGAAGAGAGAGAGAGAGAGAGAGAGAGAGCAAACGUGAUGGCGAUGGUGGUGAUGCCGUCGUGUGUAUAUGUGUGUGUGUUGUUUCUCGGGGAGGGAAUGGUGCAGCGAUGAGAAAGGAAAGAGUGAGGUCCGAAAGGGAGAGGGAUAGAAAUGAGACAGAGGGAGCUGGGGGCGAAAGAGAGAAUAGAGAAAGGGAAAGGAAAGGGAACCGGGGGCACAAAUAAAGGGGUGGGCCCCUUGGGCUCACCAAUUAAGACCAAAAAUAUUUUUAAAAACAGGGGUGGGGUGUAACAAUUUUCUUAACUAACUCUCCACAAAUUUCAUUGAUUCAAUAGUUAGGAUGAUUUUAAAGCUUGUUUGCUUAAGUAAUUUUAAUUUAGGUUGUCAAAAUUCAUCUUAAAUAAGAAUAUUAAUUUGUCGGAAUGACGAAUUUGCAAACCACUAUACAUACUACGAAUUGAACUUGCCGAUUCUAGCAACAACUAAUCAAGUAUACACACACUUGCAAUUAAUAAAAAAGAUAGUAUACCUAGCUAAUAACUGAUUCGCUAUGCAGAUUUGUUCUAGAACGCAUGCAGUUUACUCAAAAUAUAAGAUGAAUGAUGAUUGUAUACUUGAAUUAACAUAUAUAAAAACGAGCUUGAAGAUGAACUUAAACGAUAUUGAUUGGAAGGUCAUAUCCAUCAUGAAUGAAAAACGAUGUGAUGUUUUAAGUGUUUACUGCGAUGACGAUCUGGAAGAUAAAGAUCGUUUAUAUAAAUACAUCUGUAUUUGUUUUUUUCCAAGAUGAAUAGUAGGUCAAAUCAUGACUUGAGAUAUAUAUCCUCCUUUGGAGUUUCUCAGUUAGAAAAAUUAUGUACCUAUAGUCGCUUAGAUGAUUAGCCAUUAAACGUCAAUUUUUCCACAUAACCAUAUAAAAGGAAAGUAUGUAGAAAUAUAAUUAAGAACAAUUUUUUAUGAAGCUAUUGUUGCUUGGAUGAUUAGUUAUUAACCUGUUACGAGUGCUUUUUUGUUACAUAAUGCGCACCAUUACAUGUACUGACAAGGCCGUAAUUUUUUUAAGCAAAACGAUAGCUUUUUUUUUUUUUUUUUUGAAAGAGCAAAACGAUAGCUUUUUAUUGAUGAUUAAGCAAUACAAUAUAAAACAGCCCGGAUGAUAUCCGAUAGCUAGCCAACCGAUGUGCCACGACAUUAUUGCAUCACAAACUUAUUGUUCGUAUACUUUAUUGUAAAAACUAGUAGCGAAGGAAACAUAGAUAUACUUCAAUCACGGGCAGAAGACAACCUUGUAGUUAGUUCCAGUAGGGCAUGUAAAUGUACUGGUUGCGUCAUCUUUAGGGUAACUAUAAGCAUCCGGGCACAGAUUCUUAAAAAACCUAGAGAAGUCUGUAGGGUCACAAGUUCCAGAAUUGCUACAAUAUUGAUCAGUCUUGAACACGGUGCAAGGGUUGUUGCACCCUCCUGGAGCCUUCAGUUGGUCAGGGCACUGCCCGUUAAUAUCAGCCGUGCACCUAAUCCCCUUAGUGCACCCACCAGACGUGGGACUAAAGUCCAUAGGUACAUUAAACCCAUCAACAAGAGAAAUGUCAAAGAAAUCCAAGUUGUUAUAUUGAUUAAGGGCAUAUUCAGCUAGGGUGUUUGGUGGUUGACCAUAGCCUUGGCAUUCGAGGACACCCCCACAGUCACCUGUUUGGCAUUGGCCACGUCCUGCUCCAUCGAAGCUGCAUCCCGUUCGAGCCCAAAUGCGAGCUCAUGUGGUACCGGCACUUACAUCUAUGGCCCAGGAUUGGCCUCCGUCGAGUUGGCGACCACCGCCUGGCACAGCAGCUGCCCAUACAGUGUAGGCACAGUUGUUUUGGAUGUCGAAUCGAGCUGCAUUAGUUGAUGCAAAGAAGAGAAUGGCACAUAGGAUGGAGAAAAGUAAGAGGCUUUUAAGGAGGCUCAUUGUGGGAGCUAAGC
rnacentral:lncRNA from 1 species